GUAAAACUCUGUCUUUAGGGACGAUAAUGACGGUACCUAAGGAGGAAGCCACGGCUAACUACGUGCCAGCAGCCGCGGUAAUACGUAGGUGGCAAGCGUUGUCCGGAUUUACUGGGCGUAAAGAGUAUGUAGGUGGGUGCUUAAGUCAGAUGUGAAAUUCCCGGGCUCAACCUGGGAGCUGCAUUUGAAACUGGGCAUCUAGAGUGCAGGAGAGGAAAGUGGAAUUCCUAGUGUAGCGGUGAAAUGCGUAGAGAUUAGGAAGAACACCAGUGGCGAAGGCGACUUUCUGGACUGUAACUGACACUGAGAUACGAAAGCGUGGGUAGCAAACAGGAUUAGAUACCCUGGUAGUCCACGCCGUAAACGAUGAAUACUAGGUGUCGGGGGGUACCACCCUCGGUGCCGCAGCAAACGCAUUAAGUAUUCCGCCUGGGGAGUACGGUCGCAAGAUUAAAACUCAAAGGAAUUGACGGGGACCCGCACAAGCAGCGGAGCAUGUGGUUUAAUUCGAAGCAACGCGAAGAACCUUACCUAGACUUGACAUCUCCUGAAUUACUCUUAAUCGAGGAAGUCCCUUCGGGGACAGGAAGACAGGUGGUGCAUGGUUGUCGUCAGCUCGUGUCGUGAGAUGUUGGGUUAAGUCCCGCAACGAGCGCAACCCUUAUUGUUAGUUGCUACUAUUAAGUUAAGCACUCUAACGAGACUGCCGCGGUUAACGUGGAGGAAGGUGGGGAUGACGUCAAAUCAUCAUGCCCCUUAUGUCUAGGGCUACACACGUGCUACAAUGGCUGGUACAACGAGCAGCAAACCCGCGAGGGGGAGCAAAACUUGAAAGCCAGUCCCAGUUCGGAUUGUAGGCUGAAACUCGCCUACAUGAAGUUGGAGUUGCUAGUAAUCGCGAAUCAGCAUGUCGCGGUGAAUACGUUCCCGGGUCUUGUACACACCGCCCGUCACACCAUGAGAGCCGGUAACACCCGAAGCCCGUGAGGUAACCGUAAGGAGCCAGCGGUCGAAGGUGGGAUUGGUGAUUGGGGUGAAGUCGUAACAAGGUAGCCGUAGGAGAACCUGCGGCUGGAUCACCUCCUUUCUAGGGA
rnacentral:rRNA from 1 species